UCCCGCCUUCCCGGGGCCGCCGGUCGGGAGAACGCGCGGACCCCGCGGAGGGCGGGCGGGCGGUCCCGGGGCUCCGCGCCCCCUUCCCCGCCGAGCUGGCCCCCGGUGCGAGGUGCUGCUGUACUCGGGACCCCCGUGCCAUGAUUACAUCCCGCACAGCCUGGGAUCUGGGAUCCGGGCCCUCUGCCGGAGCCGUCUGGAACACGAAGGACCUUGUCCCGGACGGCUGCGGGCAGGACAGGCUCAGUGCUGGGAGCGGAGCAGGCGCCUCUCCCCGGGUUCCUCUGCUGCCUACUCUGCUUCACCGUAAAAUCCUCAGUGUGAGCUGGCCAGACGCUGCAAACCCCCGUGGGCUCUGCCGGGCUCUCCAGGCCCUGCGGGAUACUGCGUGCAAGCGGCGGGAGGAGACCCGGCACCAGGACCUGACACCAGCCACGGAGGAGCCACUGGCAUCCCCCUGUGAGCCAGCAGCUGCCACAGCGGUGCAGGCAGCCUCCACCAUGAACCUGGAGAAAGCAGGAGGGAGGCUCUGCAGUGGGAAACGUGCCAGCCUGCCAGCAGCCCGACCCUUCCCAGUGAUCCAGAAGGUGAUGGCCUCCAUGGCACAUCUGCAGAAGGAGAAGCUGCAGCUGCAGGAGGAGCUGCUGGGGCUGCAGGAGAAGCUUGCUGCCCAGGAGAACGACGAGCUCUCCCUCUCUCUGCAGCUGCAAGGCCAGGUUGAAACUCUGAAGGCGAAGGUCCUGGAGCAGGCGCAGGAGAUCGGCCGGCUGCGCUCGGAGCUGGGUGGCACGGAUGCAGAGAAGCACCGGGACCUGCUGGCGGCCGAGAACGAGCGCCUGCGGCAGGAGAUGAAGGCAUGCGAGGGGGAGCUGCGGGAGCUGCGGCGGCAGCAGCAGCAGCAGGCACCGUGCCGGGACUGCCACCACCUCCAGGAGAACGCUGGGCUGCAGGAGCAACUGUCCCAGCUGCAGCAGGAGGCAGAGGAGACACGGGCCAAGCUGGUGGAGCUGGACCUGGAGGUGCAGCAGAAGACGAACCGCUUGGCCGAGGUGGAGCUGCGGCUCAAGGACUCCCUGGCUGAGAGAGCUGAGGAGGAGGAGCGGCUCAGCCGGCGGCUGCGGGACAGCCAGGAGACCAUCGCCAGCCUCAAAUCCCAGCCCCAGCAGAUAAAGUAUAUCAUCAAGACGGUGGAGGUGGAGUCAGCCAAGGCAAAGCAAGCCCUGUGCGAGACCCAGUCCCGAAACCAGUACCUGCAGGAGCAGGUGGGGAUGCAGAGGCAGGUGCUGAAGGAGAUGGAACAGCAGCUGCAAAGCUCCCAGAAGACGGAGGCUCAGCUCCGAGCUCAGAUUGUGAUGUACGAGGCUGAGCUGGAGCGAGCCCACGGGCAGAUGCUGGAGGAGAUGCAGGCGAUGGAGGAGGAGAAGAACCGUGCCAUCGAAGAGGCGUUUUCCCGUGCCCAGGUGGAGAUGAAGGCGGUGCACGAGAACCUGGCAGGUGUCCGGACCAACCUGCUGACGCUGCAGCCGGCUCUGCGCACCCUCACCCACGACUACAACAGCCUGAAGCGUCAGGUCCGCGACUUCCCCCUGCUCCUCCAGGAGACCCUGCGCAGCGCCAGGGCCGAGAUCAGCCAGGCCAUCGAGGAGGUGCACAGCACCAACCGGGAACUGCUGCGCAAGUACCGGCGGGAGCUGCAGCUCCGCAAGAAGUGUCACAACGAGCUGGUGCGGCUGAAAGGAAACAUCCGUGUUUUCGGGAGAGUCCGCCCCAUCACAAAGGAGGAUGGUGAGGGCCCAGAGGCGGCCAAUGCAGUGACUUUUGACACCGAUGAUGAUGCUGUCCUGCACCUCCUGCACAAGGGGAAGCAGGUGUCCUUCGAGCUGGAUAAAGUCUUCCCCCCACAAGCAUCCCAGGAGGAGGUGUUUCAGGAGGUUCAAGCCCUGGUCACCUCCUGCAUUGAUGGCUACAACGUUUGCAUCUUCGCCUACGGGCAGACAGGGGCAGGAAAAACCUACACGAUGGAGGGAACAGCAGCAAAUCCAGGUAUCAACCAGCGGGCCCUGCAGCUCCUGUUCUCCGAGGUGCGGGGCAAAGCAGCUGACUGGGAUUACACCAUCACCGUCAGCGCCGCCGAGAUCUACAACGAGUCGCUCAGGGACUUGCUGGGGAAGGAGCCGCAGGAGAAGCUGGAGAUCAAGCUGUGCCCCGAUGGCAGUGGGCAGCUCUAUGUGCCCGGGCUCACCGAGUUCAGGGUGCAGAGCGUGGAGGACAUCAACAAGGUCUUUGAUUUUGGCCACGUCAAACGGGUGACAGAGUGCACCAACCUGAACGAGCACAGCUCUCGCUCCCACGCCCUCCUCAUCAUCACCGUCCGUGGCCUCGACCGCAGCACAGGGCUCCGCACCACAGGGAAGCUGAACCUGGUGGACCUGGCGGGCUCGGAGCGGGUCGGGCGGUCGGGCGCAGAGGGCAGCCGGCUCCGCGAGGCGCAGCACAUCAACAAGUCCCUCUCGGCGCUGGGCGAUGUCAUUUACGCCCUGCGCUCCCGGCAGGGCCACGUGCCCUUCCGCAACUCCAAGCUGACCUACCUGCUGCAGGACUCGCUCAGCGGCGACAGCAAGACCCUCAUGAUGGUGCAGGUCUCCCCUGCUGAGAAAAACACCAGCGAGACGCUGUGCUCCCUGAAGUUUGCCGAGAGGGUUCGCUCCGUGGAGCUGGGUCCUGUCUCCCGCAAGGCUGAGCUGGCCUCCUGGCCCAGCCAGGAGCAGCUGGAGGGUGACUCACCGGGUUCUGCAGCAACACCUGGCCGGGGCCACGCAUCCCACAGCCCAGGGCAGCUCUCCAGUCGCUCCGCCUCCAUCCGCAGGAAGCUCCACACUUCAGGUGGGUGGUGGGGCACCUUGGGAGCCCAUAUGGGGUCCCUCCAUCCAAGGAGGCUCCCACCACAAGCCCGUGGCAAAGCCUGCAUGAGGGAGUGAGCAGAUUCGUAAUCAGCUCAUUAACUAAUUGCUAAUUAGCCAUGGUUAGCACUUCUCCAAGAGCACCCUGGUGCAAAGCUGCUGCUGGCAGCUCAGGGGAUGAGGGGAGGGUAAUGCCACCAGGCUGAACUUCUCUCCCCUUUGAUUUCAGCCUGACUUAGGGGCAGCCGUGGCUGCCAGGGAAGCUGAGGUCGGUCCCACUGUGAUGAGUGCCAGCUCCUAGCUCGGGCACCAAACCCGCUCCAGGACCCAGCCCCUCACGGCGACACGGAGGUGGCUGCUGGAAGAAAUGAAGGCUUCAGUGCUGUUCCCUUGGUCACCAGGACCUGUGACCUGAGGGUGAUGGCACCUCUCACAAUGAGCAGUACAGGACCAGGGUCUCCCAGCAGCCAGACCCCCCUCUCAGAGUGGGUGACAGUGCUGCUGGGCAGGAAUCUGCCCCCUCGGAUGCUCAGCUAUGGGACAGUUGUUUUUAGCCAGAGCGAGGAACUGCUGAGUGCUCCUUCCAUCUCUCCAGCUUUGUUUUUACAAUGAAACUGGGUUGGAGGAGGUUCUUGGAGCUGGAAAGGGUGCUCGGAGCCAGGCCAGCCCCUGGCCAUGCCUCUGCUACCCCCACAGGGCCAGCCUGGCUAUGGCUCCCCCAAGACUGCACCUGGGCAACUGCCCGUUGUCUUUCAGAGCAGCAUUUCCUCCGUGGUAAGUCAGAAAAAAAUUCCAGCAGCUCCUUCCCCCGUCGGUUUCUCAAGCCCUGUUGUUGCAUGAAGGCCCCUGGUGCCAUGCAUGAGCCGAGCUGCCGUUCCUCGUGGUGCCACUGCUGCCAGGCCCUGGCACAGACCCAGAGCAGUCAUGGGCCGCCUGUGUUACACGGCACCAGGGGGGAUUUCGCAGUCUCGAAUGAAGCUAUUGUAAAGUUAUUUACCAGUUGUCUUGUCAAGAGAGAUCACAGUGUGGUCGAGAUGAAAGUGUUUGAAAUAUUUAUGCCUGUUUACAUGGACUUGGAACGGAAAACUAACGGAGAACAAACAAAAAUACCCCAAACCUCCAGCCCAAAAGCCUGUUGGCUUAUCUAUGGGGAUGGUGGCUGGCAGGGGCAUGGGAGGGGGAUGGCACUGCCUGUGGUCCUGAGCACCCACCUGUGGGUACGUUUCCUCCUGCUGCAAAUACCUGCUGGAUGCACUGAUGGCUCCUUCCACCACGGCCCUCUCCUCUCACGCUUCCACAGCAUAUUCUAUUUAAAAACAAAAAAGGGAAAAAUAAAUUUAGCCUUUUGUAUGAUUAGAUGUUUCUAUGUAUUUUAAUAAUUAAAAAUUAUCCUGUUUUGUAACAAAACUUAUUUUAAAUAAACUGUUUAAGCCAGUCCUCCUCUGCUGCUGUUCUUGAACCCUGCUUGGCUUGGGGUGGGUGCUCCUUCCCUCGCUCCCAGCAUCUCCCCUAGGGCUGGAAAAGCCCAUCACA